rnacentral:lncRNA from 1 species
UACAACACCACAUUUAGAAAUUUAUAUGAUUUAGCAGAUAACAGAAGUAUUAUCAAGAGAUUUCUUCAAACAGUAUGAAAUCCUAGGUUGCAGACAUAUGCUUCCCGUUUCGAAACCGAAACCAAAAUUGGAAACUCGUGGAAACUUUCAGAAUCUCGCCUCCAAUACGUUUUCAAAAAUACAUCUUUAAAAAUACUUUGGAAGCUUACGUUUCCGUUUUGGAAUCACG